rnacentral:rRNA from 1 species
GACGAACGCUGGCGGCGUGCCUAAUACAUGCAAGUUGAGCGAUGAAGAUUGGUGCUUGCACCAAUUUGAAGAGCAGCAAACGGGUGAGUAACGCGUGGGGAAUCUGCCUUUGAGCGGGGGACAACAUUUGGAAACGAAUGCUAAUACCGCAUAACAACUUUAAACAUAAGUUUUAAGUUUGAAAGAUGCAAUUGCAUCACUCAAAGAUGAUCCCGCGUUGUAUUAGCUAGUUGGUGAGGUAAAGGCUCACCAAGGCGAUGAUACAUAGCCGACCUGAGAGGGUGAUCGGCCACAUUGGGACUGAGACACGGCCCAAACUCCUACGGGAGGCAGCAGUAGGGAAUCUUCGGCAAUGGACGAAAGUCUGGCCGAGCAACGCCGCGUGAGUGAAGAAGGUUUUCGGAUCGUAAAACUCUGUUGGUAGAGAAGAACGUUGGUGAGAGUGGAAAGCUCAUCAAGUGACGGUAACUACCCAGAAAGGGACGGCUAACUACGUG